rnacentral:rRNA from 1 species
UACGGGGGGGCAAGCGUUGUUCGGAAUUACUGGGCGUAAAGGGCUCGUAGGUGGCCAACUAAGUCAGACGUGAAAUCCCUCGGCUUAACCGGGGAACUGCGUCUGAUACUGGAUGGCUUGAGGUUGGGAGAGGGAUGCGGAAUUCCAGGUGUAGCGGUGAAAUGCGUAGAUAUCUGGAGGAACACCGGUGGCGAAGGCGGCAUCCUGGACCAAUUCUGACGCUGAGGAGCGAAAGCCAGGGGAGCAAACGGG